rnacentral:rRNA from 1 species
UGGGGAAUAUUGGACAAUGGGCGCAAGCCUGAUCCAGCCAUGCCGCGUGAGUGAUGAAGGCCCUAGGGUUGUAAAGCUCUUUCACCGGUGAAGAUAAUGACGGUAACCGGAGAAGAAGCCCCGGCUAACUUCGUGCCAGCAGCCGCGGUAAUACGAAGGGGGCUAGCGUUUUUCGGAUUUACUGGGGGUAAAGCGCACGUAGGCGGACUUUUAAGUCAGGGGUGAAAUCCCGGGGCUCAACCCCGGAACUGCCUUUGAUACUGUAAGUCUUGAGUAUGGUAGAGGUGAGUGGAAUUCCGAGUGUAGAGGUGAAAUUCGUAGAUAUUCGGAGGAACACCAGUGGCGAAGGCGGCUCACUGGACCAUUACUGACGCUGAGGUGCGAAAGCGUGGGGAGCAAACAGG